rnacentral:rRNA from 1 species
CACGUAGGGUGCGAGCGUUGUCCGGAAUUACUGGGCGUAAAGCGUGCGCAGGCGGUUUUGUAAGCCGGAUGUGAAAUCCCCGGGCUUAACCUGGGAAUGGCAUUCGGGACUGCAAGGCUGGAGUGCGGCAGAGGAGACUGGAAUUCCUGGUGUAGCAGUGAAAUGCGUAGAUAUCAGGAGGAACACCGAUGGCGAAGGCAGGUCUCUGGGCUGACACUGACGCUCAUGCACGAAAGCGUGGGGAGCAAACAGG